GGAGGGUGCAAGCGUUGUUCGGAAUUAUUGGGCGUAAAGAGCGUGUAGGCGGUCCGGUAAGUCAGAUGUGAAAGCCCUGGGCUCAACCCAGGAAGUGCAUUUGAAACUACCAGACUUGAGUACGGGAGAGGAGGGGGGAAUUCCCGGUGUAGAGGUGAAAUUCGUAGAUAUCGGGAGGAAUACCAGUGGCGAAGGCGCCCCUCUGGACCGAUACUGACGCUGAGACGCGAAAGCGUGGGGAGCAAACAGGAUUAGAUACCCUGGUAGUCCACGCCGUAAACGAUGAGCACUAGGUGUAGCGGGUAUUGACCCCCCUGCUGUGCCCGUAGCUAACGCAUUAAGUGCUCCGCCUGGGGACUACGGUCGCAAGACUA
rnacentral:rRNA from 1 species